rnacentral:lncRNA from 1 species
CCUAGUCACUGCAACUUUACUUCACGCUGAGCGAUACCUUGCAGUUUCUUUUUCUCUUCACCUCCUUACUCUGCCACGACUUCCCAUGCACCCUAGGUGGGUGUCUCUUCUCACCCCUGCCAUCAGCAACUGCUGCUACAGGUCCUCCACAUUCCUGCUCCCAAAAGCACAGGACUGUCAUAGGAAUACAUACAAUAAGACUGCAUAUGCUGAAAUGGCAGCAGCAGGAAGAAUCGUGUAAGUACUGGAAAUGCCUAACCAUACAUACAGAAAAAGGCAUAGAUUUGCUCCUAUGAGAGAAAGCAGAGCUCACUUGUUUUCAAAUAGCAGAGAAGUGAGUUGAUCUUCUACUUCUUUCUGAGGCAAGGCUAUCUUGCAUCCCAAACAUAAGCUCCCAGCACUGGUCCCAAAUCCCUGCCCCUUCUCAAGACUUCCCUGUGCAGGGCAGUUCCAUCAGCAUAGCAACAUGGAGACAGGAAUCCGGCCCUAACACCUCCCUGGCACAUGUGGUUGAACAUUAGCACAGUCACGCACUGAAGUUCUCAUCCCAAAGAGGACUUCUGUCAGAGGGGAGGCUAUCUGACAUUCAUUCCUUUCUGACUAUGCCAAGUUUCUCACAGAAGUUUCUAACCAACUGAUAACUCUUCUAAAGUGAUCUUGCUCUUGUGGGAACUCCUCUAUUGAGACUUAUAAAGAGCGGAUUAAGCUCCACAAACAGCGCUGGUGGAGAGUAGUAUUCUUCUCAUUUCACAGAGAGGAAUGGAGUAGAGGCACAGUGCGUCUGGCACAGAGCCUACCAAGCAGUGAGAAAUGAGGAGGGGCUUUCAACAACUCCCUGCUUCUCCUUGCCUCCUGAGUUAACCCAUCCACAUGCUCAGAUGUCAAAAUUAGGAUUCAGGAUCAAUAUCAGUGUCAGUGGAUAAAGGAAGAGCGACUGACGUCAUCUACAUGGACUUGUGCAAAGUUUUUGACACUGUCCCUCAUGACAUCCCGGUCAUCAAACUGGAAAAACAUGGAUUUGAAGGCUGAAACACUCGCUGG